UGGGGAAUUUUGGACAAUGGGCGCAAGCCUGAUCCAGCAAUGCCGCGUGCAGGAUGAAGGCCUUCGGGUUGUAAACUGCUUUUGUACGGAACGAAAAGGCUCUGGUUAAUACCUGGAGCAUAUGACGGUACCGUAAGAAUAAGCACCGGCUAACUACGUGCCAGCAGCCGCGGUAAUACGUAGGGUGCGAGCGUUAAUCGGAAUUACUGGGCGUAAAGCGUGCGCAGGCGGUUUUGUAAGACAGAGGUGAAAUCCCCGGGCUCAACCUGGGAACUGCCUUUGUGACUGCAAGGCUGGAGUGCGGCAGAGGGGGAUGGAAUUCCGCGUGUAGCAGUGAAAUGCGUAGAUAUGCGGAGGAACACCGAUGGCGAAGG
rnacentral:rRNA from 1 species